rnacentral:sRNA from 1 species
AACCCGAACCUGAUACUCGAACAUGUAUCCGCUUACCCGAAAUUACAUAUACUUAUUCAUAGAUUUAUAUAUAUAAAAUCUUAUUUUAUAUUUAAUAUUUGAACUAAAUACAUUUAUA